rnacentral:rRNA from 1 species
AAUAUUGGACAAUGGGGGCAACGAUGACUCAGCCAUGCAGCGUGUGUCAGGAAGGUCGUCGGAUUGUAAAGCACUUUAAGUUGGGAGGAAGGGCAUUCGGCUAAUACCCUGAAGUUCAGACUUAACUAACAGAAUAAGCACCGGACAACUCUGUGCCAGUGGACGCGGUAAUACAGAGGGUGCAAUCGUUAAUCGGAAUUACUGGGCGUAAAGCGCGCGUAGGUGGUUCAGUAAGAUGGGUGUGAAAUCCCCGGGCUUAACCUGGGAACUGCUUUCAUAACUGCUGAGCUAGAGUACGGUAGAGGGUAGUGGAAUUUCCUGUGUAGCGGUGAAAUGCGUAGAUAUAGGAAGGAACACCAGUGGCGAAGGCGACUACCUGGACUGAUACUGACACUGAGGUGCGAAAGCGUGGGGAGCAAACA